rnacentral:rRNA from 1 species
ACGGGUGAGUAAUGCUUGGGAAUCUAGCUUAUGGAGGGGGAUAACUACGGGAAACUGUAGCUAAUACCGCGUAAUAUCGAAAGAUUAAAGUGUGGGACCUUCGGGCCACAUGCCAUAGGAUGAGCCCAAGUGGGAUUAGGUAGUUGGUGAGGUAAAGGCUCACCAAGCCGACGAUCUCUAGCUGGUCUGAGAGGAUGACCAGCCACACUGGGACUGAGACACGGCCCAGGCUCCUACGGGAGGCAGCAGUGGGGAAUAUUGCGCAAUGGGGGCAACCCUGACGCAGCCAUGCCGCGUGAAUGAAGAAGGCCUUCGGGUUGUAAAGUUCUUUCGGUAGCGAGGAGGCAUUUAGUUUAAUAGACUAGGUGAUUGACGUUAACUACAGAAGAAGCACCGGCUAACUCCGUUGCCAGCAGCCGCGGUAUACGGAGGGGGCGAGCGUAAUCGGAUACUGGGCGUAAAGGGCACGAAGCGGGGACUUAAGUGAGUGUGAAGGCCGGGCCUAACUGGGAAUUGCAUUUCAUACUGGCGUAGAGUACUUUAGGAAGGGUAGAAUCCACUGUACCGGGAAUGCUAAGAUUUGAGGAUUACGAAGCGAGACGCCCUGAGACGAGCUUAUGUCGAAGCGUGGGACACAGAUAGACCUGGUAUCCGCGUAACAGGCAUG